rnacentral:antisense_RNA from 1 species
AAGGGGUACAGUCUAGGUGACCUUGAGACCUGGAUGCCCCUCUGACUGUCAGCUAGCUGGUGGAGCACGUGGGUCUCCCUGCUAGGCAACUUCAGACACAGCCCCAGGAUUCCAGCAGGCCUGUCCCUGCCAGCCAGUGCACCCAGACCAGACUGGUCAGUCUGGUAUUUCUGAGUCCCAUCCCAGCCCCCACACCACCGAUGAGAGCCCUGCCUGGAAGAGAAGUGGCCUCAAGCAGCGCAACAGCCCUACCUGAGGAUGAUCCGAAGGUACUCGAUCCCCUCUGCUUCCUCGCACUUGACGGACAGGAUCAAGUUCCCCAGGCUGCUGCCAGUACAGUAAAAGUUUAGAUGAUCCUAAAAAGAGAAACUGUGUGUGAGCAGAAAGGAGGAAGAAACCUUCAAGAUAUGUUCCCCCAAACCACCUCCUUCACCAGGAGUGAGAAGCCCCACAGCAACAAGGAAGAGAAGGAUGCUGAUGACAAUGACGAUGACAUUAACAGGUACCGACAGCCAGAUCCUCAGGAGGCGCCAGGCACCGUGCCAGGGGCUUAAUACCCACUAUCUCCUUCACUCCUGACCACAGCUGUAUCCGGGAGAGAACAUCAUCCCCGUUUCACAGAUGGGAAAACCAAUAGUCAGAGGGAUUAAGUCACUGCCCAGGAUCACACGACGAGUAAGGGACAGAUCCAGGGUCCAAAUGCACAACUGUCUUGACUCUGAAGGGCAAGUUCUUGACCACAAGAUACCAAGUCCACGUUCUCAUUCCCAGGGGGCGGCCCUCACCAGUUCAGACUAUCUGGGGCAAGACAGCAGGGAGGAACCCUGGCACCUCCACCCAGGGGAGCUAGGAGGUGUCCUGGGCCAGUGGGUCACCCCCUGGCUCGGGGAACACGGGCGAAAAACACAGCUCCCCAGACCUGCUGGAUCAAGAGUGGGGCCCUGGAAUCUGCAUGCUAACAAGACCCAGGGGCUCUGAUGCAGCCUCCCAUCAUGUGAGACUCUGCAAAGCGGCCUCAGGCUACAGAUUUCCGGAAUCUGCCCUCAGUACAUCAAGAACCUGUUAAGUCCGAAGGGCAGAAUCUAUUCUUUUAAAUUUAACUUUGUCACUUUUAAGCAAUCAGAGGCUCGCAGACACUAUGCAGUACAAGUACUCAGAGGACCUGCCUGAAUGAGGACGGGAGAGAUUUGCGUUAUUUAGAUGGAAACAGAGACUUCUUGAGGUGUGAGAACAUAUUUUUCCUUGAACGGUCAAAACUCCACCCACCAUCCUUCACCCCAAACACUACCCAUUCCAUCGCCUCCUGAAACAUUUGCGGGUGGUGGUCCCCACAAGGACUCAUGGCACUGGGCCUCCCUGACUGUUGCAUGGCUCCCGUGCCCCUCCCCUAUUCCAGGACACAGCCCCUCAGACCUCUCCAACUAAGACAGCAGCAGGCAGCAACAAAAGGACAGACUAGGAAGGAGAUGCUGCUCCCCAGUGAUGUUGGGGUGCCCACAUUCUCCGGGUCCUCGAUCCAAUAGCCCCCAAACUGUGGCAGGAUGACCUGAGGAACCCAAACAUAAACCCCGCCAGCUGACGAUGCAGUGUCCGAAGGCGCUGAACUUCUCACCCCUCGUAAUACCAGCUUCUCAUCCUAGAAUGCUCAUUCCGGAAAACGACCCCUAGUCUCCCCCAGCACCCCUUUCCAGGCAGGGGGACUGACCUCCAAGUGAUAAGCGGCACCCCUGGGUUGGGAAAUGGAACCUGAAGCUGAGAGCUGACUGCCCACUGGAACCCAGGGCACAGAGCCUGACACCCUUACACACCGCACAGGGUAGGGAAGAGCCGGGCCAAACAGCCAAGCCUGAGGUCCCACCGAGGCCUCCACCCCCAGGCUGCUCUGAAGCUGCCCUAAGGCAUCAAGCCAGGACCCCUCUGCUGCCCACCAUGCACUAGUCUAACAAGGCAGUCAUGAAGCGGCCCGUGGUGCGAGUCAGAGUUAGACAGGUGUGAGACAGAAGACCCCAGCACCCCGGCAGCCCCUCCUGCCUUCCUCUCGCCCUAGCCCCUCACCAGGGCCAUCUGGCCACCCCCUCACCCACCCAGCCCACCUUGUUCUUCUGGGGUCCCGGCUUCUGCUCUUCAAGCUUGAUCCCCUAUAGAAACAAGGAAAACAGGAUCCACAGAAAAGCAAAGGUCAGAAGACAGGGCCAGAUAAAGAGCACCUGGCCUCACAGGGGGUUAGUAACAAGAGCAGCAGCAAAAGCUGGCCCGUGCUGGGCCUGCACACAUCACACCUGGCCAUGGGCGGGCCUCACAGCAGCUUCAGAUGAGGCAACAGCGCGGCUGGGCUAACAGCAUAGACUUGAGCCAGAUCACCGCGGUUCAAAUCCCAACACUGCCACCUAUCAGCCUGAUGACCUUGGCAAGUCACAGAAACCUCUCUGUGACUCAGUGUUCUCAUCUGUAAAGUGGGAAUGAUAAUGGUAUCGACUAUGGUGAUGAAAGUUAAAGGUUAAGAAUGGGUUGAGCACUUGGAACACUGACUGGUAUAUAAUAAAUGCUGUGGGUCAUUAUU